rnacentral:rRNA from 1 species
ACCGGCGCACGGGUGCGUAACGCGUAUGCAACCUACCUUUUACAGAGGGAUAGCCCAGAGAAAUUUGGAUUAAUACCUCAUAGUAUAUAUCUUUCGCAUGUUAGGUAUAUUAAAGUUCCAACGGUAAAAGAUGGGCAUGCGUCCUAUUAGCUAGAUGGUAAGGUAACGGCUUACCAUGGCAACGAUAGGUAGGGGUCCUGAGAGGGAGAUCCCCCACACUGGUACUGAGACACGGACCAGACUCCUACGGGAGGCAGCAGUGAGGAAUAUUGGACAAUGGGCGCAAGCCUGAUCCAGCCAUGCCGCGUGCAGGAAGAAGCAUCUAUGGUGUGUAAACUGCUUUUGUACGGGAAGAAACACUCCCUCGUGAGGGAGCUUGACGGUACCGUAAGAAUAAGGAUCGGCUAACUCCGUGCCAGCAGCCGCGGUAAUACGGAGGAUCCAAGCGUUAUCCGGAAUCAUUGGGUUUAAAGGGUCCGUAGGCGGUUUAUUAAGUCAGUGGUGAAAGCCUGCAGCUCAACUGUGGAACGGCCAUUGAUACUGAUAGACUUGAAUUACUGGGAAGUAACUAGAAUAUGUAGUGUAGCGGUGAAAUGCUUAGAUAUUACAUGGAAUACCAAUUGCGAAGGCAGGUUACUACCGGUGGAUUGACGCUGAUGGACGAAAGCGUGGGGAGCGAACAGGAUUAGAUACCCUGGUA